UACGGAGGGUGCAAGCGUUAUCCGGAUUCACUGGGUUUAAAGGGUGCGUAGGUGGGUUGGUAAGUCAGUGGUGAAAUCCCCGAGCUUAACUCGGAAACUGCCGUUGAUACUAUCUGUCUUGAAUAUUGUGGAGGUGAGCGGAAUAUGUCAUGUAGCGGUGAAAUGCUUAGAUAUGACAUAGAACACCAAUUGCGAAGGCAGCUCGCUACACAUAUAUUGACUCUGAGGCACGAAAGCGUGGGGAUCAAACAGG
rnacentral:rRNA from 1 species